rnacentral:rRNA from 1 species
UACGUAGGGUGCGAGCGUUGUCCGGAAUUAUUGGGCGUAAAGAGCUCGUAGGCGGUGUGUCACGUCGUUCGUGAAAACCUGCAGCUUAACUGUGGGCGUGCGGUCGAUACGGGCAUCACUGGAGUUCGGCAGGGGAGACUGGAAUUCCUGGUGUAGCGGUGAAAUGCGCAGAUAUCAGGAGGAACACCGGUGGCGAAGGCGGGUCUCUGGGCCUUACCUGACGCUGAGGAGCGAAAGCGUGGGGAGCGAACAGG